UGGAGAAUAUAACCAGAAUCCACAACCACUCUAGUGUGCUAUUACUAAAUGUGUGUCCGCUAAACCUGCUAAACACUACUAUGCAUCAAUCACUGUAUGGCUUACACUUAUUCUGCACCUUCUAAUUAGCAAUUUGUAUUGAUGAUCUACCUACUAGUACAGCCAUAACCGAUUUACCAGCCAUACUUUCCACUCACCCGCACCUGGCAAUAUCCCAAUGUUUGAUGUCCAGCCUGUGUUCAGUUAAAUAUGUAUAGCCUGUCAUUAAGUAUGUUUUAUAAUACUGAAGCACUAUCGGUGUAACCAGACUGCUGUUACAUGACUCCAUACUGAUAUAUUUACCAUUCUGUUUAUUGUUCAGCUUGAUUUUACUUUUAAAAAUUGUGCAAUUACUUCAUAUACCGUGUCAAAGCUAAAUCUAACCUGUAACAUGAACUGCUUGCUAAUACUGUUGUGGUAUCGCAAGUCUAUAU